AACGCUGGCGGCGUGCUUAACACAUGCAAGUCGAACGAUGAACCUCCUUCGGGAGGGGAUUAGUGGCGAACGGGUGAGUAACACGUGGGCAAUCUGCCCUUCACUCUGGGACAAGCCCUGGAAACGGGGUCUAAUACCGGAUACGACUACCGACCGCAUGGUCUGGUGGUGGAAAGCUCCGGCGGUGAAGGAUGAGCCCGCGGCCUAUCAGCUUGUUGGUGGGGUGAUGGCCUACCAAGGCGACGACGGGUAGCCGGCCUGAGAGGGCGACCGGCCACACUGGGACUGAGACACGGCCCAGACUCCUACGGGAGGCAGCAGUGGGGAAUAUUGCACAUUGGGCGAAAGCCUGAUGCAGCGACGCCGCGUGAGGGAUGACGGCCUUCGGGUUGUAAACCUCUUUCAGCAGGGAAGAAGCGAGAGU
rnacentral:rRNA from 1 species